CACUUUCAGUAGGGAGGAAGGUAGUGUAGUUAACACCUGCAUUAUUUGACGUUACCUACAGAAGAAGCACCGGCUAACUCCGUGCCAGCAGCCGCGGUAAUACGGAGGGUGCGAGCGUUAAUCGGAAUUACUGGGCGUAAAGCGCAUGCAGGCGGCCUGUUAAGUCAGAUGUGAAAGCCCGGGGCUUAACCUCGGAAUUGCAUUUGAAACUGGCAGGCUAGAGUCUUGUAGAGGGGGGUAGGAAUUUCAGGUGUAGCGGUGAAAUGCGUAGAGAUCUGAAGGAAUACCAGUGGCGAAGGCGGCCCCCUGGACAAAGACUGACGCUCAGAUGCGAAAGCGUGGGGAGCAAACAGGAUUAGAUACCCUGGUAG
rnacentral:rRNA from 1 species